CGGGCUUUAUUUCAGAUCUGUUACCAUAUUUUGUCACAUAAAGAUAUUAGAUAUGGCUCCACUUCUAGGUACUAGAAACACUUUCAGAGGUGGCUUGUCGAGGAUGACUUUUUCAAUGAUUUUUAGGAUUUUUCAUAUGACGGUCCCUUGCUGAAAAUUAAUGAUAAAAAAGGAUGGUUUGGCGAAUAUAGGUUUUUUCAUUUUUCUUUUUAAAUUUUUUUCUGCAUGUUAUAUGGAUAGUUUGGCGAAUAUGUACAUAAAAUUUGCAGAUAUUUUUCAUGAUUGUAGUAUGGUUUGGCGAAGAUGUAAUUUUUUUAAAUUUUUUUUAUGUUAUAAAUAUUAAAUGUUAAUUAUAAGCCCACU
rnacentral:lncRNA from 1 species